rnacentral:rRNA from 1 species
GAGUUUGAUCCUGGCUCAGAUUGAACGCUAGCGGGAUGCCUUACACAUGCAAGUCGAACGGCAGCACGGACUUCGGUCUGGUGGCGAGUGGCGAACGGGUGAGUAAUGUAUCGGAACGUGCCUAGUAGCGGGGGGAUAACUACGCGAAAGCGUAGCUAAUACCGCAUACGCCCUACGGGGAAAGCAGGGGAUCGCAAGACCUUGCACUAUUAGAGCGGCCGGAUAUCGGAUUAGCUAGUUGGUGGGGUAACGGCUCACCAAGGCGACGAUCCGUAGCUGGUUUGAGAGGACGACCAGCCACACUGGGACUGAGACACGGCCCAGACUCCUACGGGAGGCAGCAGUGGGGAAUUUUGGUACAAUGGGGGAAACCCGUGAUCCAGCCAUCCCGCGUGUGCGAUGAAGGCCU